rnacentral:rRNA from 1 species
AUUGAACGCUGGCGGCAGGCUUAACACAUGCAAGUCGAGCUAGAGGCGGACGGGUGAGUAAUGUCUGGGAAAAUGCCUGAUGGAGGGGGAUAACUACUGGAAACGAUAGCUAACACAGCAUACCAUCAGAUGUGCCCAGUUGGGAUUAGCUAGUAGGGGGGGUAAUGGCUCACCUAGGCGACGAUCCCUAGCUGGUCUGAGAGGAUGACCAGCCACACUGGAACUGAGACACGGUCCAGACUCCUACGGGAGGCAGCAGUGGGGAAUAUUGCACAAUGGGCGCAAGCCUGAUGCAGCCAUGCCGCGUGUGUGAAGAAGGCCUUCGGGUUGUAAAGCACUUUCAGCGAGGAGGCGUUACUCGCAGAAGAAGCACCGGCUAACUCCGUGCCAGCAGCCGCGGUAAUUC